rnacentral:rRNA from 1 species
GAGGGAAAGUUGCAAAGCACUUUGAAGAGAGAGUUAAAGAGGACGUGAAACCGGUAGGAUGGAAACGGAUAGAGCUAGCGAAGCUGUCUGUAUUCAGUCAAGAGCUGUGGCUACAAGGUCUUCUGGUUGUUUAAACUCCAGUUGGCUCUGUCUGUCGUUGCUGAGAUGUAUUGCAGGCGGUUGCGCUGAGACUUGUGGGGCAGUGGUUGGAUGCUUGACUAGAGGCUUCUCUCUGGGUUGAACCUGGUCUUGCUUACAGCUAUUUGUUCUACUCGUACUGACUUGGUGCCUGAGUGCUGUCAGUCGUGUUCGGAUUUGGGGUCACAUGUGACUGCUGGUUCCGGGCAUAGCUGCGGUGUUUGGGUUCCCAAGUUGCCUCUCGGUGUAGAAGCUGGUCAUCUAUCCGACCCGUCUUGAAACACGGACCAAGGAGUUUAGCGUAUACGCGAGCCAUUGGGCGUUGAAAACCCACAGGCACAAUGAAAGUGAAGGCUCGCUUGUCGAGCUUACAUGUGAGUGGGAAGUCCACGGACAACCACGCAACAUGGUCCCGUCCUGAUUGCUUGCAAUGGGACGGAGAUAGAGCGUAUGCGCUGAGACCCGAAAGAUGGUGAACUAUUCCUGAGCAGGAAGAAGCCAGAGGAAACUCUGGUGGAAGUCCGAAGCGAUUCUGACGUGCAAAUCGAUCGUCUGACUUGGUAUA